UCAUGCAGUAUUUCUGAGUGGCAAACGCAAAAAAUAAAUCAAAACUUUUAACAACGGAUCUCUUGGCUCUGGCAUCGAUGAAGAACGCAGCGAAAUGCGAUAAGUAAUGUGAAUUGCAGAAUUCAGUGAAUCAUCGAAUCUUUGAACGCACAUUGCGCCCGCGAGUAUUCUCGCGGGCAU
rnacentral:rRNA from 1 species